rnacentral:lncRNA from 10 species
GGCCCCCACUCUCUUCCGGCUUGUAGAGUUCUUGCUGAGAGAUCUGCUGUUGCUCUGAUGGGCUUCCCUUUGUGGGUAACCCAACCUUUCUCUCUGGCUGCACUUAACCUUUUAUGCUUCAUUUCAAACGUGGUGAAUCUGACGAUUGUGUGUCUUGGGGUUGUUCUUCUCAAGGAGUGUCUUUGUGGUGUUCUCUGUAUUUCCUGAAUUUGAAUGUUGGCCUGCCUUGCUGGGUUGGGGAAGUUCU